CGGGUGAGUAAUGUAUGGGAUCUGCCUGAUGGCGGGGGAUAACUACUGGAAACGGUAGCUAAUACCGCAUAAUGUCUGCGGACCAAAGCGGGGGACCUCCGGGCCUCGCGCCAUCAGAUGAACCCAUAUGGGAUUAGCUUGUAGGUAAGGUAACGGCUUACCUAGGCGACGAUCCCUAGCUGGUCUGAGAGGAUGAUCAGCCACACUGGGACUGAGACACGGCCCAG
rnacentral:rRNA from 1 species